rnacentral:rRNA from 1 species
GCACAAGCGGUGGAGCAUGUGGUUUAAUUCGACGCAACGCGAAGAACCUUACCAGGCUUGACAUCCCCUGACCGCGUAUGAAAGUACGUUUUCACCCUCGGGUGACAGGGAGACAGGUGGUGCAUGGUUGUCGUCAGCUCGUGUCGUGAGAUGUUGGGUUAAGUCCCGCAACGAGCGCAACCCCUACGUUUAGUUGCUAACAGGUGAAGCUGAGCACUCUAGACGAACUGCCGUUGACAAAACGGAGGAAGUGGGGAUGACGUCAAAUCAUCAUGCCCCUUAUGACCUGGGCUACACACGUGCUACAAUGGUUGGUACAACGAGUUGCGAGUCGGUGACGGCGAGCUAAUCUCUUAAAGCCAAUCUCAGUUCGGAUUGUAGGCUGCAACUCGCCUACAUGAAGUCGGAAUCGCUAGUAAUCGCGGAUCAGCACGCCGCGGUGAAUACGUUCCCGGGCCUU